UACCCACUUGAUCUACACGUAAUGGGUCUGAUCUGUAUGCACCUUUCUAACACAUAAGACAAGCUGGAAAUUACUUUCUGCAUUCUUGGAUUAAGCAACAUAAAUCAUGGGAUACAUGAUAUCCCUCACCAUAUUUUGAGGAACAUUCAGCAACCUUCAGCUCAAAGGACAAGCCUCCCAUCUCAUUCUCCACAGUGCACUACAGAAGUCUAAGUCUUACAUUUUUUAAUUACUGGGAAAAAAGAUCAAAGAAUAAUGUUUAAUGGUGUUGGAAUUGAUGCAAUUUAAAUCUCAGUUCUGUGGCUAUAGCUGUGUUUAUUUGGACAGAGAUGUUUUCCUGGGCUCCAAGAUUGGAAUGCAGGUGAAGGAAGAAGAAAACCAGGCGUGAAUCAGUUGCCUUGGGGAACUAACACCUCCCCUAUCAGAAAACAGAGGUUAGGAGGAGAGAAAAUGACCACACUUGGGGGCCUGGGAGAAAAACCAGAAAGUGCUUUCUGUUUUCAAUCAAAUUUCAAAGCAGUGGUGUGUAUAGAGGCAAUGCCCAG